rnacentral:rRNA from 1 species
CCCUUAGAUGUUCUGGGCCGCACGCGUGCUACACUGAGUGGAUCAGCGGGUCAGGUUGCGCGAAAGCGUUUCCUAAUCUUUAAAUCCGCUCGUGAUAGGGAUUGGGGCUUGAAAUUGUUCCCCAUGAACGAGGAAUUCCCAGUAAGCGCGAGUCAUAAGCUCGCGUUGAUUACGUCCCUGCCCUUUGUACACACCGCCCGUCGCUACUACCGAUUGAACGGUUUAGUGAGGGCCUCGGAUUGGUCUCGGCCCGCUCUUUACCGGGCGGCGCCGUUGGUCGAGAAGACGCUCGAACUUGAUCGUUUAGAGGAAGUAAAAGUCGUAACA